CGUGUAGGCGGGAGGCCAAGUCUGCUGUGAAAUCGCCCGGCUCAACUGGGCGGGGUCGGUGGAAACUGGUCACCUGGAGGACGGUAGAGGCGAGUGGAAUUCCCGGUGUAGUGGUGAAAUGCGUAGAGAUCGGGAGGAACACCAGUGGCGAAGGCGGCUCGCUGGGCCGGACCUGACGCUGAGACGCGAAGGCGUGGGGAGCGAACGGGAUUAGAUACCCCGGUAGUCCACGCAGUAAACGAUGCACACUAGGUGUGGGGGGUAUCGAGCCCCUCCGUGCCGUAGUUAACACAGUAAGUGUGCCACCUGGGGAGUACGGCCGCAAGGUUAAA
rnacentral:rRNA from 1 species